UGUUAGAGUUUGAUCAUGGCUCAGAUUGAACGCUGGCGGCAGGCCUAACACAUGCAAGUCGAGCGGUAGAGAGAAGCUUGCUUCUCUGGAGAGCGGCGGACGGGUGAGUAAUCCCUAGGAAUCUGCCUGGUAGUGGGGGAUAACGUUCGGAAACGGCCGAUAAUUCCGCAUACGUCCUACGGGAGAAAGCAGGGGACCUUCGGGCCUUGCGCUAUCAGAUGAGCCUAGGUCGGAUUAGCUAGUUGGUGAGGUAAUGGCUCACCAAGGCGACGAUCCGUAACUGGUCUGAGAGGAUGAUCAGUCACACUGGAACUGAGACACGGUCCAGACUCCUACGGGAGGCAGCAGUGGGGAAUAUUGGACAAUGGGCGAAAGCCUGAUCCAGCCAUGCCGCGUGUGUGAAGAAGGUCUUCGGAUUGUAAAGCACUUUAAGUUGGGAGGAACGGGUCGUAGAUUAAUACUCUGCAAUUUG
rnacentral:rRNA from 1 species